UACGGGGGGGGCAAGCGUUGUUCGGAAUUACUGGGCGUAAAGAGCGCGCAGGCGGCUGGUCAAGUCCGAUGUGAAAGCUCCCGGCUUAACUGGGAAAUUGCAUCGGAAACUGAUCGGCUGGAAGGUGGGAGAGGGUAGCGGAAUUCCCGGCGUAGUGGUGAAAUGCGUAGAUAUCGGGAGGAACACCAGUGGCGAAAGCGGCUACCUGGCCCAUUCUUGACGCUGAGGCGCGAAAGCUAGGGGAGCAAACGGG
rnacentral:rRNA from 1 species